CUACGGGAGGCAGCAGUGGGGAAUCUUGCGCAAUGGCCGAAAGGCUGACGCAGCGACGCCGCGUGGAGGAUGACGCCCUUCGGGGUGUAAACUCCUGUUGCCCGGGACGAAUACCUGUUUCGACAGGGGUGACGGUACCGGGUGAGGAAGCACCGGCUAACUCUGUGCCAGCAGCCGCGGUAAUACAGAGGGUGCGAGCGUUGUCCGGAAUCACUGGGCGUAAAGGGCGCGUAGGUGGCGGGGUAAGCGUGUGGUGAAAGUCCGGGGCUCAACCCCGGAUCGGCCAUGCGAACUGCUUCGCUGGAGCACGGUAGAGGCACAUGGAAUUCCGGGUGUAGCGGUGGAAUGCGUAGAGAUCCGGAAGAACACCGGUGGCGAAGGCGGUGUGCUGGGCCGUUGCUGACACUGAGGCGCGACAGCGUGGGGAGCAAACAGGAUUAGAAACCCGGGUAGUCC
rnacentral:rRNA from 1 species